rnacentral:rRNA from 1 species
CUACGGGUGGCACCAGUAGGGAAUCUUAGACAAUGGGGGAAACCCUGAUCUAGCCAUGCCGCGUGGGUGAUGAAGGCCUUAGGGUUGUAAAGCUCUUUCGCUGGGGAAGAUAAUGACGGUACCCAGUAAAGAAACCCCGGCUAACUCCGUGCCAGCAGCCGCGGUAAUACGGAGGGGGUUAGCGUUGUUCGGAAUUACUGGGCGUAAAGCGCGCGUAGGCGGGCUAUUAAGUCAGGGGUGAAAUCCCGGGGCUCAACCCCGGAACUGCCUUUGAUACUGGUAGUGUUGAGUUCGAGAGAGGUGAGUGGAAUUCCGGGUGUAGAGGUGAAAUUCGUAGAUAUUCGGAGGAACAUCAGUGGCGAAGGCGACUCACUGGCUCGAUACUGACGCUGAGGUGCGAAAGUGUGGGGAGCAAACAGGAUUAGAUACCCCCGUAGUC